rnacentral:lncRNA from 1 species
UGAUUUGGAAGCGGUGAUGUGGAUGGUGGUGUUGUGGUAAUGGUGGUGAGAUGACAUCAAUAAUUUUUGGUAGUGUCGAUGAUGGUAGGAGUGGUGGUGUGUAUAUAUCAAGAUUUAGGCGAUUGUGGAUGAUAUAACUAGUAAAUACGUUCCUCCCAUAUGAAUAUAUUUUAUUGUUUCGGGGGGGAUUACGCUUACUUGUUUUUUAGUACAAGUAGCUACGAGGUUUGUUAUGACAUUUUACUAUUGUCCGAUCGUUACAGAGGCUUUUGCCUUUAUUCAAUACAUAAUGACGGAAUCUAACUUUGAUCGGUUAAUCCGAUCAGUUCAUCGAUGGUCCGCAAGUAUGAUGGUCCUAAUGAUGAUUCUGCAUGUUUUUCAUAUGCAUCUCACGGGUGAAUUUAAAAAACUUCGCAAAUUGACUUGGGUUACAGUUGUGGUUCUGGGGGUAUUGAUCGCAUCUUUUGGCGUAAAUGGUUAUUCCUUACCUCGGGACCAAUUGAGUUUAUUUCGACUAUAAAAAAGUCACUUUAUAAUAUUAGUAAUAGUAAGACAAAUAUAUAUAUAUAUAUAUAUAUAUAUAUAUAGAGAGAGAGAGAGA